UACGUAGGGUGCAAGCGUUGUCCGGAAUUAUUGGGCGUAAAGGGCUCGUAGGCGGUCCAUCACGUCGGGAGUGAAAAGCUGGGGCUUAACCCCAGUCCUGCUUCCGAUACGGGUGGACUAGAGGUAGGUAGGGGAGAACGGAAUUCCUGGUGUAGCGGUGAAAUGCGUAGAUAUCGAGAGGAACACCUGCGGCGAAGGCGGGUAGCUGGGCCGACACUGACGCUGAGGCGCGAAAGCCAGGGGAGCGAACGGG
rnacentral:rRNA from 1 species